rnacentral:tRNA from 1 species
UUUUAAAUAGUUUAAAAAUUAAAAUUUAAUAUUGAAGAUAUUAAAAUGAUUAUUAGUAAUCUUUAAAAA